CUGUGAACAAUUUGAGACUGGAUAUUGCCACUGUCCUCCUUCAAGAAACAGAUGAUCUCAGCAAUGUCUGUCACAGCUGUGGGAUGGAGGAGAGCGAUAACCCUCAAUGGAUCUGCUGUGACAUCUGUGACAGGUGGUUUCACCACGAGUGUGUCCUGAGGCCAGAUGUGGAUGGGGAUUACCUGUGCCCUGCAUGUUCAUGAUGAGGGAUGGGGGGGUUAGAAGUAUUAAACUAUAUUUAUGUUAUGACCUUCUGCCCAAUAUCUAAUAAUAUUUCUGUUUGUAGAUGUAUAGUUGCUUCUGAGAAGUUAAAUUUUAUUACAAAAAAGUGUUCUAUUUUGAUUGUCUUUGGGUUUACUUUAUUUGACGUUUGACUUUGAAUAUUGUAUAUAUAAAUUAUUUAAC